GCUUAUUGCUAGCAUAACUAUGGUUGGUUUUCUUACUGAUGCUGACAGGAUGAAAAUACCUUGGUGCUAAAUGCUGUUUCUUUCACAGGAAGAGACUCUUCAUGUCUGCAGCAGACACUGAAGAGACAAAUGUUACUUCAGAUAACUCCAGUGACAGAACAGGGCAGAAGAGUGAUGGGUUCAGGAAUGCACGCCAGUUCCUCAGCUGCAGUACUACUAUGCUAUUCAUCUCCAUAAAGAGCUCUUUCGAAAGUAUUAUUAAACAGCAGGAAGGAAUGGUGUAUGACAGCUUCAUUAGUCACUACAAGCCAAACCUGGCUGCUUUCUGCUGGGGAUUAUUAGCACAUUCCAAAACAUCCCUGGGUUGAUGGCAUCCAACUUUUUUUCUUUUUCCCUUCAACAUUAUGGAAUGCGGCCAAAUCUCAGUUUGAAAAUCCUGCUAUCAAGUCCUCUCUGGGCUGGGUUAGGCUGUAUUUGUGAAGAGAACCUGGACUCCCUCCUUGGUCGUAAGAGUUCAGAAGCAAUGAAAUAGGUGAUUUGAAAUAUGCAGACACAGGAAAUUAUUUUGUAGAAGUGCAGAAUGUGAUCUUCCCAAGAUAGCAAAUGUCUAUCCCAUGUUACUACAUCCUCUGGGUACCAGAUACAUAACUUUAAGAACUUUGUGUUUGUGUUCACAAAAGGUGCAUCCAGAAGUCAAGAUGAUUUAAGGAUGCUCAUGGUCUCGCUGAGAUUAGUAAAUAUGGGGAUUUGGGCUAGCAUGGCAUUUCAGGCUCUGUGUUGCCCUGAGAUCAAUUCUAUUCUAAGUGAGAUACUUCUGAAUCUUCCUUAAUGGGGGCAUAAGCUGCAGGAUAAGCAUGAUAUGCAGAACUGAGCGCUUGUAUAAGUCUGUUGCUUGAUUUAUUGCUCUUCUGAAAUUAUCCUAGGCUGUUUAUAAAGUGAAUAAACUGACUAAAGAAAAGUAAAAUUAACA
rnacentral:lncRNA from 1 species